UGAGGAAUAUUGGUCAAUGGGCGGGAGCCUGAACCAGCCAAGCCGCGUGAGGGAAGAAGGCCCUAUGGGUCGUAAACCUCUUUUGUCAGGGAACAAAAGCGAGUAUGUAUACUGGUCUGAGUGUACCUGAAGAAAAAGCAUCGGCUAACUCCGUGCCAGCAGCCGCGGUAAUACGGAGGAUGCGAGCGCUAUCCGGAUUUAUUGGGUUUAAAGGGUGCGUAGGCGGCGGUGCAAGUCAGCGGUAAAAGCCCGUGGCUCAACCCCGGCGAGCCGUUGAAACUGCAGUGCUAGAGAAGGCGAGAGGUACGCGGAAUGCGCAGUGUAGCGGUGAAAUGCUUAGAUAUUGCGCAGAACUCCGAUUGCGAAGGCAGCGUACUGGCGCCUGACUGACGCUGGGGCACGAAAGCGUGGGGAUCGAACAGGAUUAGAUACCC
rnacentral:rRNA from 1 species